rnacentral:rRNA from 1 species
CAGCAGCCACGGGAAUACGAGGGGGGCAAGCGUUGUUCGGAAUUAUUGGGCGUAAAGGGUGCGUAGGCGGUUUGGCAAGUCUUGUGUGAAAUCUUCGGGCUCAACCCGAAGCCUGCACGAGAAACUGCCGGGCUUGAGUAUUGGAGAGGUGAGUGGAAUUUCCGGUGUAGCGGUGAAAUGCGUAGAUAUCGGAAGGAACACCUGUGGCGAAAGCGGCUCACUGGACAAUAACUGACGCUGAUGCACGAAAGCUAGGGGAGCAAACAGGAUUAGAUACCCCGGUAGUCCCUGUCUCUUAUAC